rnacentral:tRNA from 2 species
GCCCGGAUAGCUCAGUCGGUAGAGCAGGGGAUUGAAAAUCCCCGUGUCCUUGGUUCGAUUCCGAGUCCGGGCG